UUUUGGAUAAUAUUUGGAUACAGAUAGAAAAUAUUCAAAUUUUAGUAUUAUUAUUUUGAAUUAAUUUUAUAUAGGCUCCUAUGAAUUUGCAAAUAUAUUUCUAUAAAAUUCAACUUUUUAUAUAUUGUCCCUGUAAAAGUUAUAAUAUUUUCAAAUAUGUCCUUUUGAUUUGUUGCCGUUAAAACAUUGUCUAUUUUAUAAAUAAAAUGAUCUUUUUAUCAUCACAAAUAUGUCCCUCUGAAAAUUCCAACUGUUAAUUAAAGAGAGGUAAAAGGAUCAAUUCAACUCAUUAACUAAUUAGAGUUAAGUAUUUAACCUAUAGUUAAUUAAUUUUUUUUCUAACGAAUUCUAACGGCAUGGACAUAUUUGAAAACAUCAGAAUUUUUGAAAAGACAACAUAUGAAAGUUAAACUUUGUAGAGAUAUAUUUAUAAUUCACUAUAUUUAUAGAAACCUGUAUGCAAUUAACCCUAUUAUUUUUAUAUUCUUUAUAUUUCCCACCCAAUUUCUUCCACCCGGCCAGCUCAAAUCCCUUUCCUCCAGAGUCGAUCUCUUUUGCCUACUUCUCUAAUUCAUUGCCAAUCAAGAUACCGAGGGAUGAUUUAUACAUAUUGUUUGAAAAUAAAAUUUUGUAUUAUUCGUUUAUUUUAUAAUAAGUUAUAUAUUAAAAUUAUAUAUUUUAUAUGUGAAGAUAUAUAGUCAAGAAACACGGUAGGAAAAUAAAGUAAUUUUUGGUGUUCAUGCGUAUUAAUAUAUAUUAUUAUCCAAAUAAUACCCGAAUACAUAUCCGAUCCAUAUUCAAGUCCGAAAAAUUAUCUGAUCAUAUCCGAAUUUGUUUUUAGUAGAUAUUGUAAUA
rnacentral:lncRNA from 1 species